rnacentral:misc_RNA from 1 species
GAUGAAGAACGCAGUGAAAUGCGAUAAGUAAUGUGAAUUGCAGAAUUCAGUGAAUCAUCGAAUCUUUGAACGCACAUUGCGCCCGCUAGUAUUCUGGCGGGCAUGCCUGUCCGAGCGUCAUUUCAACCCUCAAGCCCCCGGGCUUGGUGUUGGGGAUCGGCGAGCCUCCGCGCCCGCCGUCCCCUAAAUCUAGUGGCGGUCUCGCUGUAGCUUCCUCUGCGUAGUAGCACACCUCGCACUGGGAAACAGCGCGGCCACGCCGUUAAACCCCCAACUUCUGAACGUUUGACCUCGGAUCAGGUAGGAAUACCCGCUGAACAUAAGCAUAUCAAUAAGCGGAGGA